GAUGAACGCUGGCGGCGUGCUUAACACAUGCAAGUCGAACGGUGAAGGCGGGGCUUGCUCUGCUGGAUCAGUGGCGAACGGGUGUGUAACACGUGAGCAAACCGCCCCUGAACCUGGGAUAAGCGCUGGGAACGGCGUCUCAUACUGGAUACGAGCUGCGAAGGCAUCUUCAGCAGCUGGAAAGAAUUUCGGUAAGGGAUGAUCUCGCGGGCUAUCAGCUUGUUGGUGAGGUAAUGGCUCACGAAGGCGUCGACGGGUAGCCGGCCUGAGGGGGUGACCGGCCACACUGGGACUGAGGCAGGGCCCAGACGGGUACGGGAGGCAGCAGUGGGGAAUAUUGCGCAGUGGGGGAGAGCCUGAUGCGACGGCGCCGCGUGCGGGACGACGGCCUUCGGGUGGUGAACAACUUUUAGCAGGGAAGAGGCGAACGUGACGGUACCUGCAGAAAAAGCGCCGGCUAACUACGUG
rnacentral:rRNA from 1 species